CCUACGGGUGGCAGCAGUGGGGGAUAUUGCACAAUGGGGGAAACCCUGAUGCAGCGACGCCGCGUGUGGGAAGACGGUCCUCUGGAUUGUAAACCACUGUCCCCAGGGACGAAGAUGACGGUACCGGGGGAGGAAGCGCCGGCCAACUACGUGCCAGCAGCCGCGGUAAUACGUGGGGAGCGAGCGUUGUCCGGAAUUACGGGGGGUAAAGGGAGCGGAGGCGGGACUGCAAGUUGGGUGGCAAAUCUACCGGCUCAACCGGGAGCCGCACUCAAAACUGCAGUUCUUGAGUGAAGUAGCGUCAGGCGGCCUUCCUCGUGUAGCGGUGCACUGCGUAGAUCUUAGGCG
rnacentral:rRNA from 1 species